rnacentral:lncRNA from 1 species
UGAAUUGUGUUGUGGUGAAUAUUCAUUCAUAAUUUUCUUUCUUUUCCGUCCUGGGCACAGGUUCCCUUGUGAGAAGAAUACACUGACUUUGGAGUUGCCCAAGUGGCUUGCUAUCACAUACAAAGAGGAGAGAAGCCAUGGUAUGUGAGGUCCAAGAAAAUGCCUUCAGCCAUCUUGCACUUCUGCUCUCCACAAUGAGUAGAUUGUGCCUGUGGUAGGCAUUGUUUUUCAUCCUGAAUCCUGGAUACAGAGACUCAUGGAGUAGAUUGGAACCCAGACUGUAAACUGGCGUGAAGAGCAACUCAAUUGGCCAGGAGCCAAUUUCCUUUUGAUAAAUUCGUGCUUCAGGCUAUAUGGCACUGACCACUACAUUACGGACAUCCUGACAAAUGAACAGGUAUGCAGGCAGAGUGUGUCAACCAUGAUGUGGGUGGCUUCUCCUAGGGGUCUUGAUCCUGGGGAGAUUUUUAUUCUUCUUACUCUGGCUGUCAAGAUAGAUACAGAAAGUGUGCCAUCUUUGGGGACUUUCUUCCUCACCACUGAACAAUGGACUUAAGUCCUUCUGGUGUUCACUUUGAGAAGCAAGAUCUCAGCUAUGUAGAGCUGUAUAAGGAGAAGGUCCUACUGCAGAGAGUUGACCUUUCACAUUAUUAAGAGCUGAGAAGGCCAAUAUAAUCAUUUAAUAUUUAAACAUUUUUGAGAAACUUUUUCUAAAUUUUUUUUGUUUGCCUCUUGGUCUUUUUACUUAGAAAAUAUGCAACAUUUAUAUUUUUAAUUCAUGUAUUCAACUAGCAUUUGCUGAGUAUCUAUUAAAUCCUAAAUACUAUGAACAAAAGUAUAGAAUAUAAAUUGUCAUUGCCCUUAUAGUCUAGAAAGAAAUUGGCAAGCAUUUUCUGUAAAGGGGCAGAUAGUAAAUUUUUUUAGUUUUGCAGGCUUUAGGGUCUCUGUCACAACUAUUCUGCCACUGUAGUGCAAAAGCAGCUAUAAACCUAAAUCCAAUUUUAUCUGUCUGUCAAACACAUCCUCAUCAUUAAGCUCUGUGCAAAGGAAACACUUUAUGUGAAACCUUUCCUGACCAAGACAAAUGGAAAAACUUACUCUUCCUUUUGCAUCCUACUGUAUUCUCUCUAGCUCCCCCUCAGGGCACCUCUAACAGAAAUUAGUUUCUACCCUCUGCCUCCCUGUUGUUAAAUUUGGGCAACCCUAAUCUAAUGCUAAUAUUUUUAAAGAGCACAGUUUAGGGCUUAAUUUUAUGAAUGCUAUGUUGAAGAAAUUUUGAAGAUACUUUAGAAUAUGUUGGAUUUCGUUUCCUCCUUCCUCACCUCCCACGGAUUCU